rnacentral:lncRNA from 14 species
CCCUCUUCUCAGAGGAGUUGAUGACUUCCAGCUCUGCUGCAUCGCUAACAUCCCCAGCAGCCCCACUGACAUCAGUGACACUUCCGCAGCAAAAUGCAAUUUGAUGCAACAAAGAGGCAAAAUAUCCAGAUCCAGAGUGUGUCCAUACUGGCUAUUAUUGCAGUACUAAUGGCAGUGAGUUAGCCUAUCAAGAGAAAGGAGUGUAGUAAACUUUAACAAGGGCAUUGGCUUCCUAAUACCCUGAGUGCCUGCCUUAGUAUGCUUCAGACUUAAAAAGCCUUUCUCUGAAUAGCUCUCUGCUGGUUGUAUCACAGACAGAAAAUAGCUUUGAGGAUGGAAGAUGGGUUUCUUUUGCAUGCAGACAUAAGCAUGUAUGUAUCACCCUGAGUUUGUCAUGCCCUGAAUCUCUCAGCUGUCAGCCUGGCUGGCGUUGGAAGCAGCACUUCCUCAGGCACUGGCCAAACCAGAGUGACAAGUCACAGCACUAUAGGGUGGCAAAACAAGCAGGAUGAUAUGAUCAUGACUUUGAGGCAUGAGUUAGAGGUGACAGAGGGAAAUCAAAGGCUGAGAACAGGAAAACCUCUUUCCCAAGAAAGUAUGUGGCCUGGAAGUCAUCACUGAUACUUCUGCAGCAAAACACAAUUCAAAGCUAUGAAGAGGUAAAAAACCCGGAUCCAGAGUGUGUCCAUACUGGUCUGUAAUCUUCACUUUGCCAUGAGCAAACCAUUAGUUUUGAACACUUAACAGCAACACCACCAUCAUGUGGAGACAGGUCACAGCUCUACUCCUUUAUAAGCCACUCAGAAUGAGCCAGUGCAUGCAGAACUCGGGACCAUCCCCCCAUAACAACUAUGCACCAUCAACAUGCUCCUUCCAGAAACAGGCUGAGAACACGAUCCAGUGAGUCCAUGAAGGACCUGUGUUUUCUAAAAGAAGAGUCAAAACACUGGCAGUAUGCAAUGGGCAGAGAGGCCACACAGCAACUGCUGGAUGAUGGGACCUGUUGGAACUGUGAGCACUGUCCCAGGGGCUUGGCUGCACCAAGGACAGCUGAAAUCCAUGCAAACACCGAGUCCAGUGGGCUCCAGCUCCGCCUGUGGAUGCACUUCUUUUCCAAACAAUUACAGAUGACGAGAUGUGAAUAGGUAUUAACAACUUUAUUGCCUCAUAAUAUCAAAUGCACAGUAAAUACCCUAAUAAAAAGUUGUUCCUCAAUAAGGCA